rfam:Aedes aegypti strain Liverpool supercont1.4386 genomic scaffold, whole genome shotgun sequence.
GGCACAGUAGCUUAGUUGGUCAAAGCGCUCUUCUGGCAUUCAAGAGGCGUGUGUUCAAAUCCCACCUGAGUAU